UCAGCAGAACAGCAGACCGCCCUGCUUGUCAGGCCUGCCGCACCCUACCUGCUCUCUGCUACGGAGACCCCAGCCCAGCACCGGCCCGAGGAGCCAGAGCCUGCUCCCGGUCCAGGCCAGCCAGACCCUCCAGGCCACCGAAUCCCAGACAGCCAGGCCAGUGCUUCCCCACCUCCCUCUCGGGCUUGGCUCCUCUCCUCCACCUCUCCUGGCACCUGCAGUGACCGCCCCGCCUGGCCAGCCCCUGGGACUGACCCUCUCUUCUUUCUAAGCCCCUGCCACCUCGUCACCACCCCCAACCCUCUUAGUACCCCCACCUCGGCUUCAACCAUGAAGACCCCCUCAGGGCCAGAGGAGGCCCGGCAGCCCGCCUCGGACAUCCGCGUGUUCGCCAGCAGCUGCACACUGCAUGGGCUGGGCCAUGUCUUCGGCCCGGGGAGCCUGACCCCGCGCCGGGCGCUGUGGGCUGUGGCCGUGCUCCUGUCGCUGGCAGCCUUCCUCUACCAGGUGGCAGAGAGGGUGCGCUACUAUGGGGAGUUCCACCACGAGACGGCCCUGGACGAGCGCGAGAGCCACCAGCUCACCUUCCCAGCCAUCACCCUCUGCAACAUCAACCCGCUGCGCCGCUCGCGCCUCACACCCAACGACCUGCACUGGGCCGGGCAGGCGCUGCUGGGCCUGGAGCCCGCUGAGCACGCCGCCUUCCUGCGUGCCCUGGGCCAGCCACCCACGCCACCCGGCUUCAUGCCCAGUCCCACCUUCGACAUGGCCCGACUCUACGCCCGGGCGGGGCACAGCCUGAAGGACAUGCUGCUGGACUGCCGCUACCGUGGCCAGCCAUGCGGGCCGGAGAACUUCACUGCGAUCUUCACCCGCAUGGGGCAGUGCUACACCUUCAACUCUGGUGCCAACGGGGCAGAGCUUCUUACCACCCCCAAGGGCGGCGCGGGCAACGGGCUGGAGGUCAUGCUGGAUGUGCAGGAGGAUGAGUACCUGCCCGUGUGGAAGGACGUGGAGGAGACACUGUUUGAGGUGGGAAUCCGAGUGCAGAUCCACAGCCAGGAGGAGCCGCCCAUCAUUGACCAGCUGGGCUUUGGGGCACCCCCUGGCUACCAGACUUUUGUGUCCUGCCAGCAGCAGCAACUAAGCUUCCUGCCACCGCCCUGGGGCGACUGCAGCUCCGCAUCUCUGGACCCUGACUUUGAGCCGGAACCCUCUGACUCCCUGGACUCCCCCAGCCCCACUCCAGGCCCCAGGCCUCCCUAUAGUCUAGUGGGCUGUCGCCUGAUCUGUGAGACCCGCUACGUGGCUCGGAAAUGUGGCUGCCGAAUGAUGCACAUGCCGGGUGGCGCUCCCGUGUGCAGCCCCCAGCAGUAUAAGGACUGCGCCAACCCCGCGCUGGAUGCCAUGCUGCGGAAGGACGCGUGCACCUGCCGCAACCCGUGCGCCAGCACGCGCUACGCCAAGGAGCUCUCCAUGGUGCGGAUGCCGAGCCGCGCUGCUACCCGCUACCUGGCCCGGAAAUACAACCGCAGCGAGGCCUACAUCGUGGAGAACGUGCUGGUGCUGGACAUCUUCUUUGAGGCCCUCAACUACGAGACCGUGGAGCAGAAGAAGGCCUAUGAGGCGACAUUGGGGGCCAGAUGGGACUGUUCAUCGGGGCCAGCCUGCUCACCAUCCUUGAGAUCCUGGACUACCUCUGCGAGGUAUUCCGAGACAGGGUCCUGAGAUACUUCUGGAACCGAAAGCGCUCCCAAAAGCAUUCCAGCAGCAAUCUGGCCUCCCACCCCUCCCUGUGCCGUCACCAGGACUCUGUCUGCCUCCCACCGCACCUGCUACCUCGUCACACAGCUCUAGGCCCGAUGUCUG